GUGGUAGCUCAAGGGUGGUUGGUUCACUCCCGUUAGAGAGGGGGUGGUGCCUUGUCAGUAUUCGAAGCAUUGAUGUUUGCGGUAGCAUUUGCAACAUUGGUCGUUGUAAUAUUGUCGUUUAACCAUAAAAAAUAACCCAUCCUUAAGUUGAGAGCUCAGAUGGGUUAAUCCUAAUGAAAGCCAAUCCCCUUUGGGACCAACU
rnacentral:sRNA from 1 species